ACGGUAGAGGUGCAUUGUGUCAAGAGUACCGCGGAUGUAAAAGGGGUGACUUCCCGUUGUCCGCAGGAAAGGGGCAGGUGCCGAGGGCAGGCUGUUGUCAGGUCUGUACUGGUUUGGGCGAAUAAGAUCGCUCCGACUGUCGCUUUUGCGGAGAGCUAUCA
rnacentral:ncRNA from 1 species